ACCUGCACGGCGUCGGCGCGCUUGACGUCCACCGCGCUCGGGCCGCGGCCGGAGAUCGUGUUCUCCGUGACCACGGUGCCGGUCGUGGCGCCGGUG
rnacentral:tRNA from 1 species